GCAAAAGUAAAUUUAAAAUUUUACUGAGAGAAAGGAGUAAAUUUUCUCAUAAAUUGUUCUCAAAAUUUUAAUUUUACACUUCAGUUUGGCCGUUAAAUUUCCCUUUCUCGCAUGGUUUUUAACAUGCACUAUUUCAAUCCAUUUAGUUGAAAUGUUCCACAACAACGGUUUUGAUGGUGACCCGAAGAAGAAUGGCAAGAUCACGUCGAGUGAACCAGUAGAAAAAACUGCAGCCAACAGUUUCAGGAAACUACUGAAGAAUUUCGCCUCUGAUACAAGUUUUGGUGGAAUUUCAAAGGCGACUCUCUCCGAUGGACAUAUCCGACGUUUCAUCUGGUUUCUGAUUUCUGCGACUUGUUAUGGCUUUACCAUUUACAUGUGUUAUUUGUUGAUCAAGACGUAUUUGGAAAAACCCAUCAAAACAUCCGUGGAUAUUUCCUACGAAAAGGUUA
rnacentral:lncRNA from 1 species